CUAAACCUAGAUAGCACUAAACAGCAAAAAAACAGAUUCUACCACUAUGUAGCUAAAAAAGAAUCUAGCUACCACUAAAUACCAAACAACAAAAAAUCAACUUCUUCUUCUUUUUUCUCUUCUUCUCCUUCUUAUUUUUUUCUUAUUCUCUUCUUCUCUUCUUCUUUACUUCUUCUCCUUCUUCUUCUUCUUCUUCUUCUUCUUCUUCUUCUUCUUCUUAUUCUCCUUCUUAUUUUUU
rnacentral:lncRNA from 1 species